AUUGAACGCUGGCGGCAUGCCUAACACAUGCAAGUCGAACGGUAACAGGAAGCAGCUUGCUGCUUCGUUUUAGCGUGGCGGACGGGUGUGUCAUGUCUGGGAACCUGCUUGAUGGCGGGGGUUAACUACUGAAAACGGUAGCUAAAACCGCUUAACGUUGCAACACCAAAGAGGAGGACCUUAGGGCCUUCUUGCAUUGAAUGUGCCCUGGAUGCAUUAGCCAGUAGGUGGGUUAACGGCUAACCUAGGCGACGAUCCCUAGCCGGUCUGAGAGGGUGACCGGCCACACUGGAACUGAGACACGGUCCAGACUCCUACGGGAGGCAGCAGUGGGGAAUAUUGCACAAUGGGCGAAAGCCUGAUGCAGCCAUGCCGCGUGGAUGAAGAAGGUCUUCGGGUUGUAAAGUACUGUCAGCGGGGAGGAAGAGAGUAAAGUUAAUAUCUUUGCUCAUUGACGUUACCCGAAGAAGAAGCACCGGCUAACUCCGUG
rnacentral:rRNA from 1 species